rnacentral:rRNA from 1 species
AUAAGGUUAAGUUAAUAAGGGCGCACGGUGGAUGCCUUGGCACUAGGAGCCGAAGAAGGACGUGACAAACGACGAUAUGCCUUGGGUAGCUGUAAGUAAGCGAUGAUCCAGGGAUUUCCGAAUGGGGGAACCCAACAGGUACUACCUGUUACCCGCAUCUGUUAAGGAUGUGAGGAGGAAGACGCAGUGAACUGAAACAUCUAAGUAGCUGCAG